rnacentral:siRNA from 1 species
AUAAGUGACUCUGAAAUUGGUGAU